rnacentral:piRNA from 1 species
GUUUGCAACUUUGUGACGCCUGGGA